ensembl:lncRNA
UUCAAAACCAACACAAAAAAACUACCUGAAGAUGCUAAAGUGGAAUGGAAGGACAGAUACAACAACAAAGUCCAUGUGCACCAGAAUGGUUGUGAUAGGACUGAAGACCAAAGCCCAGCAUACAGGGAGCGAACAGAGAUGAAGCGCAACCCGCUAAGAACUGGAGACCUCAGUCUCAUCCUGAAAUACCCCACAAACAAGGACAGAGGCACCUACACCUGCACCGUCUACAACAAGGAGGGAGAAAAAAUCCUGAAUGACACACACGACACACACGUGGAGCUUAAAGUCAGAGUCCCCCAGGUGGUGGUUGAUUCAGAUGUGGAGUUUGUCCAGCUGCCCUGCAAAACUACAAUAAACCUCCCUAAAGAUGCUAAAGUGGAGUGGAAGGAUAGAAAAAUCAGGAAGGUCCAUGUAUAUCCAGAAGUGUCUGACCAGCCUGAAGAACAGGACCAGCGUUACAGAGACCGAACACAGAUGAAUGAAGACCUGCUGAAAACUGGAGACCUCAGUCUGAAACUGAAAUACCCCACAGACUGGGACACAAACAUCUACACCUGCACCGUCUACAGCAAUUCCUGCAUCCUAAAGGAGAAACAAGAAGUGGAACUUAAAGUCAGAGUCUGUGAGGUGGAGCUGAAGAUGGGGGAGUCUGUCCAGCUGCCCUUCAAAACCACAGAAAAACUGCCUGAAGAUGCUAAAGUGGAGUGGAAGGACAGAUACAACAGGAAGGUUCAUGUGUAUCCAGAAGUGUCUGACCAGCCUAAAGAACAGGAUAAGGAUUAUAGAGAUCAAACAGAGAUGGAUGACUGCCCGCUGAAAACUGGAGAGCUCAGUCUGACUCUGAAAAACCCCACAGAGGGAAACAUUGGGAGAUACACAUGUUGCGUCUGGAGAAAGGGAGACAAAAUCAGAUCGAAAACAGUGAUGUUAAAAGUUCCUCGGGUGCCAUUGUCUAGAUAUUGAACUAUGGUUUUAUUAUAUUAAUUUCCUCUUUAUGAUAAGAUAGAAUGAACUUUAAUGUCCCCAUGUUUAAAUUUGGUGUGGACUCUAGGAUUGUCACAGAAUCUGCCUUUACAAAGUCAAUAGACAUUAAAAGAAAAGAGAAAUAGAUAACAGAUAAAUAAAAAAUAUAUAUAUAUAUGUAUAAAUUUAAAUAAAACCCAGAAGCUGUGCCUUGAUCAUCACAGAAACCUGGCUUCACCCAGGAGUACCUGAAGCUAGCGUGCAGCUAGCAGGCUGCACUGUGCUCCGCUGGGACAGGACAAAGGCAAGAGUGGGUGGGGGGAUUGUAUGCUCCCUCUAGGUGCGAUCUUUCAGAAAUACAAUAUCGCUUUUCACUGUUAUGCCGAUGAUAUAUAGAUCUACUUUGAACUAACUGAUGAUCUGUCUCUGCACUGUUUGUGUGAGGUCAAAGAAUGGCUCUUAGGAAACUCUCUUAUCUUAAAUGAUAAGAAAACGGAAGUCGUGGUAUUUGAUAGUAAUAUCCCUCGCGGCCAACUUCGUAAUGCCUUUGGUUCCCUUGCCAGUUCCAUCUCUGACACUGUUAGCAAUUUGGGCGUGUUGCUGGAUAGCUCUUAAAUUUGAUAAACAAGUGUCCACUGUAUAUAGAUCUAGCUUCUACCAACUGCAUUUCAUUUCUAAGGCUAGGCAUGCCCUCUGACUGGAACUGGGAGGUUUGCCUCUAUUAUCCCUGUUCUUGCUGAUCUGCACUGCACCCAUUAAAUACCGUAUCCAAUUUAAAAUAUUGUUGCUUACUUUUAAAAUUAUCAACAACACAGCGCCGAGCUACCUUAUCGAAUUCCUUAGAUUGUCCUUGUUAGAGCACUAAGAUCAUCUACUCAGGUAAUCUUGGUGCAGCCAAGAUUGUAGCAUCCAGUCGAACUGAGAAGGCCAGAACUGAUGGUUGUUGAAUGACCUUUAUUAUUCCUUGCCGUGUAUCAGACAACGAACCAACGUAAGAGCUAGACAAACAAAUAAAACAAUUACCAUAUUAUUCAUGUAACACUAUUUUAACCGCUCAUUACGCUGGUCUAACAGUUUUCUAUUAAACUAUAUAAUACAUAUUAUGCAUUUCAGAUUGCUCAAAUUAAAUCAUAUACAUUACAAACCUUGUUCCCCUGUCGACUGUAGCUAGAACCAUUCGUUUUUGUACAAUUUAACCAUAUUCUUCCC